GAUGAAGAACGUAGCGAAAUGCGAUACUUGGUGUGAAUUGCAGAAUCCCGUGAACCAUCGAGACUUUGAACACAAGUUGCGCCCGAAGCCAUUAGGCCGAGGGCACGCCUGCCUGGGUGUCACACACCGUUACCCUCGCGCCAACGUCCAUCGUUGGCCGCGGCGCGGGGCGUGCGCUGACCUCCCGCGAGCGGGGUCUCGUGGUUGGUUGAAAAUCGAGUUCGCGGUCGAGGGUGCCGUGAUGAAAUGGUGGAUGGGCGACGCCCGAGGCCAAUCACGCGCGACUCUGUCCGGCUCGGACUCCUGGACCCCUGCGGCGUCUCCGGACGCUCUUUGGCGAGACCUCAGGUCAGGCGGGGCUACCCGCUGAGUUGAAGCAUAUCAAUAAGCGGAGGA
rnacentral:misc_RNA from 1 species